AUGGUGGAUGUUUCAGCAGGACUCAUGAUUGUGGAAGUCUCUUUUGUAGUAGAUGUUUCUGCUUCACUAGUGGUGGAUAUUUCAGGUGUAGUUGUGAUUGUUAAAGUCUCUAAUGUUGUAGAUGUUUCUGCUACAAUGAUAGUAGAGGUUUCAGCUGGAAUUGUUGUGAUUGUGGAAGUCUCUGUUGUUGUAGAUGUUUCUACUUCACUAGUGGUGGAUGUUUCAGGAGGUGUCGUUAUUGUGGAAGUUUCUUCUGAAGUAGAUGUUUCUGCUUCAGUAGUGGUUGAUGUUUCAGCAGGCGUAGUGAUUGUGGAAGUCUCUGUUGUUUUAGAUGUUUCUGCUACACUAAUGGUGGAUGUUUCAGCAGGACUCAUGAUUGUGGAAGUCUCUUUUGUAGUAGAUGUUUCUGCUUCACUAGUGGUGGAUAUUUCAGGUGUAGUUGUGAUUGUUAAAGUCUCUAAUGUGGUAGAUGUUUCUGCUAAAAUGAUAGUGGAUGUUUCAGCUGGAAUUGUUGUGAUUGUGGAACUCUCUGUUGUUGUAGAUGUUUCUGCUACACUGAUAAUAGAGGUUUCAGCAGGAAUUGUUGUGAUUGUGGAAGUAUCUGUUCUGGCAGAUGUUUCUACUUCACUAAUUGUGGAUGUUUCAAUGGCAGUUGUUGUGAGUGUGGAAGUCUCUGUUGUUGUAGAUGUUUCUGCUACACUGAUAGUAGAGGCUUCAGCAGGAAUUGUUGAGAUUGUGGAAGUAACUAUUGGUGUAGAUGUUCCUGCAGCACUAGUGGUGGAUAUUUCAGCAGGAAUUGUUGUGAUUUUGGAAGUCUCUGUUGUUGACGACGUAUCUGUAGCACUAGUGGUAAAUGUUUCAGCAGGAAUUGUUGUGAUUGUGGAAGUAUCUGUUCUUGUAGAUGUUUCUACUGGCCUAAUUGUGGAUGUUUUAACCACAGUUGUUGUGAGUGUGGAAGUCUCUGUUGUUGAAGAUAUUUCUGCUUCACUAGUGGUGGAUAUUUCAGCAGGUGUCGUUUUUGUGGAAGUCUCUUUUGUAGUAGAUGUUUCUGCUACACUGAUACUAGAGGUUUCCACAGCAAUUGUUGUAAUUGUGGAAGUCUCUGUUGUUGUAGAUGUUUCUGCUGCACUAGUGGUGGAUGUUUUAGCAGGAGUGGCUGUGAGUGUGGAUGUCUCUGUUGUUGUAGAUGUUUCUGCUAAACUAAAAGUGGAUGUUUCAACUGGAUUUGUUAUGAUUGUGGAAAUCUCUGUUGUUGUAGAUGUUUCUACUUCAAUAGUGUUGGAAGUUUCAGGAGGUGUCGGUAUUGUGGAAGUCUCUGUGCUUGUAGAUGUUUCUGAUGCAUUAGUGGUGGAUGAUUCGGCAGGAUUUGUUGUGAUUGUGGAAGUCUCUUUUGACGUAGAUGUUUCUGCUUCAGUAGUGGUUGAUGUUUCGGCAGGAGUAGUGAUUGUGGAAGUCUCUGUUGCUGUAGAUGUUUCUGCUGCACUAGUGGUGGAUGUUUCUGCUGCAGUUGUUGUGAUUGUGGAAGUCUCUGUUGUAGAUGUUUCUGCUGCACUAGUGGUGGAUGUUUCAUCAGGAGUUGUGAUUGUGGAAGUCUCUGUUGUUAUAGAUGGUUCUGCUAAACUAGUGGUGGUUGUUUCUUUAGGAGUUGUGAUUGUGGAAGUCUCUGUUGUUGUAGAUGUUUCCGCAGGAGUCGUGAUUGUGGAAGUCUCUGUUGAUGUAGAUGUUUCUGAUAAACUAGUAGUGGAUGUUUCAUCAGCAGUGGUGAUUGUGGAAGUCUGUGUUGUUGUAGAUGUUUCUGUUAAACUAGUGGUGGAUGUUUUAUCAGGAGUCGUCAUUGUGGAAGUCUCUGUUGUUGUAGAUGUUUCUAAUGCAUUAGUGCUGGAUGUUUCAUCAGGUGUCGUGAUUGUGGAAGUCUCUGACAUUGUAGAUGUUUCUGGUGCACUAGUGGUGGAUGUUUCAUCAGGAGUUGUCAUUGUUGAAGUCUCUGUUGUUGUAGAUGUUUCUGGUGCACUAGUGGUGAAUGUUUCAUCAGGAGUUAUGAUUGUAGAAGCCUCUGUUGUUGUAGAUGUUUCCGCAGGAAUCGUGAUUGUGGAACUCUCUGUUGAUGUAGAUGUUUCCUGUGUACUAGUGAUGGAUGUUUCAGCAAGAGUCGUGAUUGUGGAAGUCUCUGUUGUUGUAGAUGUUUCCGGUGCACUAGUGGUGGAUGUUUUAUCUGGAGUCAUGAUUGUGAAAGUCUCUGUUGUUGUAGAUGUUUCUACUCCACUAGUGGUGGACGCUUCAUCAGGAGUUGUGAUUGUGGAAGUCUCUAUCAUUGUAGAUUUUUCUACUAAACUAGUGGUGGAUGUUUCAUCAGGUGUUGUGAUUGUGAAAGUCUGUGUUUUUGUAGACGUUUCUGCUAAACUAGUGGUGGAUGUUUCAGCAGGAGUCAUGAUUGUGGAAGUCUCUGUUGUUGUAAAUGUUUCAGCAGGAGUUGUGAUUGUGUAAGUCUCUGUUGAUGUAGAUUUUUCUGAUAAACUAGUGGUGGAUGUUUCAUCAGGAGUUGUGAUUGUGUAAGUCUCUGUUGUUGUAGAUGUUUCUGCUAAACUAGUGGUGGAUGUUUCAUCAGGAGUCGUCAUUGUGGAAGUCUCUGUUGUUGUAGAUGUUUCUGGUGCACUAGUGCUGGAUGUUUCAUCAGGUGUCGUGAUUGUGCAAGUCUCUGACUUUGUAGAUAUUUCUAUUGCACUAAUGGUGGAUGUUUCAUCAGGAGUUAUGAUUGUAGAAGCCUCUGUUGUUGUAGAUGUUUCUGCAGGAAUCGUGAUUGUGGAAGUCUCUGUUGAUGUAGAUGUUUCCUGUGUACUAGUGGUGGAUGUUUCAGCAAGAGUCAUGAUUGUGGAAGUCUCUGUUGUUGUAGAUGUUUCCGGUGCACUAGUGGUGGAUGUUUUAUCUGGAGUCAUGAUUGUGGAAGUCUCUGUUGUUGUUGAUGGUUCUGCUGAAAUACUGGUGGAUGCUUCAGCAGGAGUCAUGAUUGUUGAAGUCUCUGUUGUUGUAGAUUUUUCU
ensembl:lncRNA